GCGGGACACGUGGUAUCCUGUCUGAAUAUGGGGGGACCAUCCUCCAAGGCUAAAUACUCCUGACUGACCGAUAGUGAACCAGUACCGUGAGGGAAAGGCGAAAAGAACCCCGGCGAGGGGAGUGAAAAAGAACCUGAAACCGUGUACGUACAAGCAGUGGGAGCCUCUUAAUGGGGUGACUGCGUACCUUUUGUAUAAUGGGUCAGCGACUUAUAUUCUGUAGCAAGGUUAACCGAAUAGGGGAGCCGAAGGGAAACCGAGUCUUAACUGGGCGUUAAGUUGCAGGGUAUAGACCCGAAACCCGGUGAUCUAGCCAUGGGCAGGUUGAAGGUUGGGUAACACUAACUGGAGGACCGAACCGACUAAUGUUGAAAAAUUAGCGGAUGACUUGUGGCUGGGGGUGAAAGGCCAAUCAAACCGGGAGAUAGCUGGUUCUCCCCGAAAGCUAUUUAGGUAGCGCCUCGUGAAUUCAUCUCCGGGGGUAGAGCACUGUUUCGGCAAGGGGGUCAUCCCGACUUACCAACCCGAUGCAAACUGCGAAUACCGGAGAAUGUUAUCACGGGAGACACACGGCGGGUGCUAACGUCCGUCGUGAAGAGGGAAACAACCCAGACCGCCAGCUAAGGUCCCAAAGUCAUGGUUAAGUGGGAAACGAUGUGGGAAGGCCCAGACAGCCAGGAUGUUGGCUUAGAAGCAGCCAUCAUUUAAAGAAAGCGUAAUAGCUCACUGGUCGAGUCGGCCUGCGCGGAAGAUGUAACGGGGCUAAACCAUGCACCGAAGCUGCGGCAGCGACACUAUGUGUUGUUGGGUAGGGGAGCGUUCUGUAAGCCUGUGAAGGUGGCCUGUGAGGGUUGCUGGAGGUAUCAGAAGUGCGAAUGCUGACAUAAGUAACGAUAAAGCGGGUGAAAAGCCCGCUCGCCGGAAGACCAAGGGUUCCUGUCCAACGUUAAUCGGGGCAGGGUGAGUCGACCCCUAAGGCGAGGCCGAAAGGCGUAGUCGAUGGGAAACAGGUUAAUAUUCCUGUACUUGGUGUUACUGCGAAGGGGGGACGGAGAAGGCUAUGUUGGCCGGGCGACGGUUGUCCCGGUUUAAGCGUGUAGGCUGGUUUUCCAGGCAAAUCCGGAAAACCAAGGCUGAGGCGUGAUGACGAGGCACUACGGUGCUGAAGCGACAAAUGCCCUGCUUCCAGGAAAAGCCUCUAAGCAUCAGGUAACAUCAAAUCGUACCCCAAACCGACACAGGUGGUCAGGUAGAGAAUACCAAGGCGCUUGAGAGAACUCGGGUGAAGGAACUAGGCAAAAUGGUGCCGUAACUUCGGGAGAAGGCACGCUGAUAUGUAGGUGAAGCGACUUGCUCGUGGAGCUGAAAUCAGUCGAAGAUACCAGCUGGCUGCAACUGUUUAUUAAAAACACAGCACUGUGCAAACACGAAAGUGGACGUAUACGGUGUGACGCCUGCCCGGUGCCGGAAGGUUAAUUGAUGGGGUUAGCGGUAACGCGAAGCUCUUGAUCGAAGCCCCGGUAAACGGCGGCCGUAACUAUAACGGUCCUAAGGUAGCGAAAUUCCUUGUCGGGUAAGUUCCGACCUGCACGAAUGGCGUAAUGAUGGCCAGGCUGUCUCCACCCGAGACUCAGUGAAAUUGAACUCGCUGUGAAGAUGCAGUGUACCCGCGGCAAGACGGAAAGACCCCGUGAACCUUUACUAUAGCUUGACACUGAACAUUGAGCCUUGAUGUGUAGGAUAGGUGGGAGGCUUUGAAGUGUGGACGCCAGUCUGCAUGGAGCCGACCUUGAAAUACCACCCUUUAAUGUUUGAUGUUCUAACGUGGGCCCGUAAUCCGGGUUGCGGACAGUGUCUGGUGGGUAGUUUGACUGGGGCGGUCUCCUCCUAAAGAGUAACGGAGGAGCACGAAGGUUGGCUAAUCCUGGUCGGACAUCAGGAGGUUAGUGCAAUGGCAUAAGCCAGCUUGACUGCGAGCGUGACGGCGCGAGCAGGUGCGAAAGCAGGUCAUAGUGAUCCGGUGGUUCUGAAUGGAAGGGCCAUCGCUCAACGGAUAAAAGGUACUCCGGGGAUAACAGGCUGAUACCGCCCAAGAGUUCAUAUCGACGGCGGUGUUUGGCACCUCGAUGUCGGCUCAUCACAUCCUGGGGCUGAAGUAGGUCCCAAGGGUAUGGCUGUUCGCCAUUUAAAGUGGUACGCGAGCUGGGUUUAGAACGUCGUGAGACAGUUCGGUCCCUAUCUGCCGUGGGCGCUGGAGAACUG
rnacentral:rRNA from 1 species